GAAGAUGAUUCUGAGAUUCCUGAAACUUUUUGUUACACCAAGUUUACUUUGUCCCAUCCCAGAUAAUGUAAUGCCCUGGAUCUUUGGACACAGCCCAGGCCUUGCAGAGGUGCUGUGAGGCCUAUUAGAGAUAGGAUGUUUAAUAUAAUAGACAGUUUUUUUGUUCUGUUCAAGCUUGUGCUGAUGCUUAUUUAACACCAUGUAUCAAGAGAUAUGUAACUGGAUUCAUGUCUGGUUUCAAGAGUGGAAUUGAGGACAAAGUUCUUUUCAUGCAGUCAAAUGGUGGACUUACACCUGUGUCAAAGUUUUCUGGAUCUCAUGCCAUUCUCUCUGGCCCAGCAGGAGGAGUGGUUGGUUAUGCCAUGACAACGUACCAUGCAGAGACGGAACAGCCUGUUAUUGGAUUUGACAUGGGUGGUAUGUAGUGUAAAUGGAGAGAGUUUGAGUUACUUACCAACAGGAUUCAAGACUUCCUCAGAUUUUGAUGAAAAGACCAAUGACCAAAGUGGUAGCCAACUAUCUAUCCCUUGACUAUAUAUAUUGAUAUGAUGUAAUGACGAGGGCUAUUUUGUACAUAUAAUUAGGAACUUCGACUGAUGUGUCUCGCUUUGCUGGUCAAUAUGAACAAGUCUUUGAGA